rnacentral:rRNA from 12 species
UCUGCGGCGGAUGCCUCGAAUUUCAUGGCGAUGAAGAAGGCGGGCACAAGGGACAUGAG